CCUCUUCUGCUUCUAAUCAGCUUUAUUUUCAGAAAAUUUUUGUGACCGCGCGCAAUGCGGUCGGUAGAGUCAGUGUCUGUUGCACAAUGUGUAUUUUAAUAUUUUUCUGAGCAAAAUUAGCUCUCAUUAAAUUAGAUUAUUAAUUCAUUUAAAUUAUAAUUCGCAAAGAUAGAGUCAGUGAGUUCGCCUACUGUUACUUAAACGUGCGCGUAGUGUUUUAUUUUUCUUUUUUAGUAUUUUAUCUUGUUCAAUAUUCGUUUCCGGUAUUAAAGUGAGUGCUCAAGGGGAUAAGGCGUCUCCAGAAAAUCAAGAUCAUGUUUCAUAGCAUCAACUUGUUGGUAUAUUUUGGGGAAAAUCCAACGGUAACUCUAAAGCCAAAAAUAUUUUCUACAAUCUCCACUUCCCUUAAUCUUUUGAGGCUCUUAUGAUGCUUCAAAAGCAAAAAUGAUAUUUUUCACGGCAUUCACUUCCACCAUGGGUAUCUAGUUAAUGAGGAUCUUCACGAUAACUUUCUCUGAUUUAGUGCAGCAUCGAUAAUAACGUUCUUCACAUCUGUUGCGUGAGUCGCAUGCAUUUAAGUUCCUCCGGUUACUCAAUCAUGUCGUAGGACGAAAGGUCCGAAUCGGCACGUGUGACUGGUUGUCUACAUAGAAUUUUUGAUGAGCAUAGUGACCGCGGAUAUUUUUUAUAUCCGUGAGUAGUAACAUCUUUUUCAGGUUUUUUAUGUGUUAGAUCAGGAUAGGGCUUCUUGCACAUCGCGAUUUUAACAAUUAAUUUGAACAUAUACAAUUACAGUAAUUACUUGU